AUGUCAGAGGAUUUUUUGGAGUCCUUGUGGGAUGGGAACUCUUUGCAGAAUAAAACCAUCACCAUAGAGUUCUUCAGCAUGUCGAAUGACGAUUGCAGCUUCUUUGAUCCGGCUUUGGAGCGCUUUGGUCAAAAGAAUUGUGACUCAGAAAGUCAGGCUGUUUGUCAGUUCAAGAAGGAAGAACCGGAUGAAUUCAGUUUACCAAAGUCAUCUUUUUUCAGGAGACUGAGCGAAGACCCCAACACUGGUCUGGUAAUGAAGGAGCUGAUGGCCAAUGCCUCCUGGAGCACAGAUCUGACCUUGCUGCAGCAGCUGACUCAUGCUGUCCUACACAGAAUAGAAGCAGACGGCCCUCACCUCCUGACAUCGGACGACAUCCUCUCCCUCUCCCAGCUGAUUGAUGGGAUUGCAGCUGGCACUUCCUUUGCAGGAACAAAUUCAAUAGAGGCCAUGCUAUCCAUUGCUACAAAUUAUGUAAACUUUGCCAACGUGAUGCUGGAGCCAGACAUGGCUGCGCAGUGGUUUGGUCUAACCGAGUAUGGGGUUAGUGUUGGACCAUUUACUAUAAUCAAAAGCAUUGAUCAUCUCACUGAGGCUCUUGCAGACACACUGGUUGCAGAGCAAAGAGACUUCUCUCUUUCCACUAAAAACAUAGGUAACGUUGCAUUUCUUCCCUAUAAUGUUGUUUUUGUACAAAUAUUUUUAUUGAUGCUGUGUAUCCUGUCAGUUGUGUACAUGAAGUUGCAGAAACUUUCUCAGGAAAGCUGUAAACAAGUCUUCAGACCAUCUCAGCAGCACAGUCUCGAUGAGUUGAUUAUACCGGACUCUGAACUCCAGAGGGUACACGCUCUAGGACACCAGGAGGUGAUGUUUAUUCAUACCCACUACACCCACCUCAGUAAAAUUAUGUCUGGACCAGAUGAGCCUGUGCUGAGGCAACAAGACAAAGGAUCAAGGUUAGCUGCUUGUUUUCUGUAG
rnacentral:lncRNA from 1 species